UACGUAGGUGGCAAGCGUUGUCCGGAAUUACUGGGUGUAAAGGGCGUGUAGGCGGGAAGGCAAGUCAGAUGUGAAAGCCCAUGGCUUAACUGUGGAACUGCAUCUGAAACUGUUUUUCUUGAGUACUGGAGAGGAAAGUGGAAUUCCUAGUGUAGCGGUGAAAUGCGUAGAGAUUAGGAGGAACACCAGUGGCGAAGGCGGCUUUCUGGACAGUAACUGACGCUGAGGCGCGAAAGCGUGGGGAGCAAACAGGAUUAGAUACCCCUGUA
rnacentral:rRNA from 1 species